GACGAACGCUGGCGGCGUGCUUAACACAUGCAAGUCGAGCGGUAAGGCCCUUUCGGGGGUACACGAGCGGCGAACGGGUGAGUAACACGUGGGUGACCUGCCCUCAGCUCUGGGAUAAGCCUGGGAAACCGGGUCUAAUACUGGAUAUGACUCCAUGACGCAUGUUGUGGGGUGGAAAGCCUUGUGCGGCUGAGGAUGGGCCCGCGGCCUAUCAGCUUGUUGGUGGGGUGAGGCCUACCAAGGCGACGACGGGUAGCCGGCCUGAGAGGGCGGCCGGCCACACUGGGACUGAGACACGGCCCAGACUCCUACGGGAGGCAGCAGUGGGGAAUCUUGCGCAAUGGGCGAAAGCCUGACGCAGCGACGCCGCGUGAGGGAUGACGGCCU
rnacentral:rRNA from 1 species